GACGAACGCUGGCGGCGUGCUUAACACAUGCAAGUCGAACGAAGUUGCGAACGGGUGAGUAACGCGUAGGUAACCUACCUAUUAGAGGGGGAUAACUAUUGGAAACGAUAGCUAAUACCGCAUACUAGUAGAUGGACCUGCGUUGUAGUAGCUAGUAGGUAGGGUAAAGGCUUACCUAGGCAACGAUACAUAGCCGACCUGGGCGGGUUAUCGGCCACACUGGGACUGAGACACGGCCCAGACUCCUACGGGAGGCAGCAGUGGGGAAUCUUCCGCAAUGGACGAAAGUCUGACGGAGCAACGCCGCGUGAGUGAUGACGGCCUUCGGGUUGUAAAGCUCUGUUAAUCGGGACGCGGUACCGGAAUAGAAAGCCACGGCUAACUACGUGCCAGCAGCCGCGGUAAUUC
rnacentral:rRNA from 1 species